GGAUUUCAACCCUGAUGUAGCUGUCGCUGUUGAUGACCACACAGCUCCUUUCUAUCCCUCAGCAGUUAUGAGUCACAAACAGAUCAAUGGACUCACAGCUAGACAAGUUCCUUUGGCCAAGGGCUUUGAACAUUUUCAGUGACUGGAAUCAAUCUGAGAAAAGUCAUGCACAGACAGAAGACUUUUCAAGAUUUCAAAGACGAGAAAAGGAAGUUUCUAAGUGCACAGAAACAUUUCUGGUGAUGCUUUGGAACAUUCCAUGAGGUCCGCCGUCCAAGCUGACUGAUCCCCAGGACUGGGUUAGGGAGAUCUGAAACAAGAGGCUCAUGUCCUUUCCCUGUGCCUAACAUCUUUUCCCUGUUUACUCAUUUGGCCAAUUUCCAUUCAUUCCAUAGGUCUCAGAGACGUCUUGUUUGACCUACAGCCUAGGCCAGACCUUUAGGUCUGCACUUUUUUAGGACUCUGUACUUCUCUGUCAUGUAACUUAUCACAAUUAAAAUGUAAGCAAC
ensembl:lncRNA